rnacentral:rRNA from 1 species
UGUUCCCAUCCCGAACACAGUAGUUAAGCUCUUUAGCGCCGAUGGUAGUUGGGGGGUUCCCCCUGUGAGAGUAGGACGUUGCCAAGCA